rnacentral:rRNA from 1 species
UGCGUAGGUGGUGAGGUAAGUCGGAUGUGAAAGCUCGGAGCUCAACUCCGAAAUGGCAUUGGAAACUACCUUGCUAGAGGGUUGGAGGGGGGACUGGAAUACUUGGUGUAGCAGUGAAAUGCGUAGAUAUCAAGUGGAACACCAGUGGCGAAGGCGAGUCCCUGGACAACUCCUGACACUGAGGCACGAAAGCUAGGGAGCAAACA